rnacentral:rRNA from 1 species
ACUCCUACGGGAGGCAGCAGUGGGGAAUAUUGCACAAUGGGCGCAAGCCUGAUGCAGCCAUGCCGCGUGUAUGAAGAAGGCCUUCGGGUUGUAAAGUACUUUCAGCAGUGAGGAAGGCGGAGUCGUUAAUAGCGGCCUCGUUUGACGUUAGCUGCAGAAGAAGCACCGGCUAACUCCGUGCCAGCAGCCGCGGUAAUACGGAGGGUGCGAGCGUUAAUCGGAAUUACUGGGCGUAAAGCGCAUGCAGGCGGCCUGUUAAGUCAGAUGUGAAAGCCCGGGGCUUAACCUCGGAAUUGCAUUUGAAACUGGCAGGCUAGAGUCUUGUAGAGGGGGGUAGAAUUUCAGGUGUAGCGGUGAAAUGCGUAGAGAUCUGAAGGAAUACCAGUGGCAAGGCGGCCCCCUGGACAGAUACUGACACUCAGAUGCGAAAGCGUGGGGAGCAAACAGGAUUAGAUACCCUGGUAGGAUAGCG